ensembl:snRNA U2 U2 spliceosomal RNA
AUGGUUUUGGUGUUAAUAAAAUCUGUUCUUAUCAGUUUAAUAUCUGAUACGUCCCCUACUCGGGGACUACAUAUUAAAUUGAUUUUUGGAUCACGGAGCUGGAGCCGGGGCUUGCUCUGUCCACUCCACGCAUCGGCCUGGUAUUGCAGUGUCUCCAGGAGCGGUGUGCUUCCC